rnacentral:rRNA from 1 species
AAUGAACGUUGGCGGCGUGGAUUAGGCAUGCAAGUCGAGCGAGAACCCGCAAGGGGGACAGCGGCGAACGGGGUAGGACAACGUAGGUAACGUACCCUCGGGGCGAGGACAGCCACGGGAAACUGUGGGUAAUACUCGAUAAACUUCCCAAUCAUUAUGGAAGGGGAAGCAAUGGGUGUGAUUCCACCUGAGGAGCGGCUUACGCAGUAUCAGCUAGUUGGUGAGGUAACGGCUCACCAAGGCUACGACGCUUAGGGGGUGUGAGAGCAUGGCCCCCACCACUGGCACUGAGACACUGGCCAGACACCUACGGGUGGCUGCAGUCGAGAAUCUUCGGCAAUGGACGCAAGUCUGACCGAGCGACGCCGCGUGCGGGAUGAAGGCC